rnacentral:rRNA from 1 species
GACGAACGCUGUCGGCGUGCUUAACACAUGCAAGUUGAACGGAAAGGCCCUGCUUGCAGGGUACUCGAGUGGCGAACGGGUGAGUAACACGUGGGUGAUCUGCCCUGCACUUCGGGAUAAGCCUGGGAAACUGGGUCUAAUACCGGAUAGGAGCCAUUUUUAGUGUGAUGGUUGGAAAGUUUUUUCGGUGUAGGAUGAGCUCGCGGCCUAUCAGCUUGUUGGUGGGGUAAUGGCCUACCAAGGCGGCGACGGGUAGCCGGCCUGAGAGGGUGGACGGCCACAUUGGGACUGAGAUACGGCCCAGACUCCUACGGGAGGCAGCAGUGGGGAAUAUUGCACAAUGGGCGCAAGCCUGAUGCAGCGACGCCGCGUGGGGGAUGACGGCCUUCGGGUUGUAAACUCCUUUCGCUAGGGACGAAGCUUUUUGUGACGGUACCUAGAUAAGAAGCACCGGCUAACUACGU